AGCAUAAGUUUAAAACCUGAAACUAUAAAACUACUAGAAGGAAACAUAGGGAAAAUGCUUCUUGACAUUGGUCUGGACAAUGAUUUU